rnacentral:rRNA from 1 species
UGUAGAGAAUCUGCCCUGUACUGGGGGACAACAGAGGGAAACUUCUGCUAAUACCCCAUAUGAGCGUACCUGCGAUGGUAUUCUUGAAAGUUCCGGCGGUACAGGAUGAGUCUGCAUCUGAUUAGCUAGUUGGUGGUGUAAUGGACUACCAAGGCGACGAUCAGUAGCUGGUUUGAGAGGAUGAUCAGCCACAAUGGGACUGAGACACGGCCCAUACNCCUACGGGAGGCAGCAG